AAGCUUACUUUCCUUACAAGAACUGUACAUUUGCCAGUGGCAAAUACCGUACUUUGUUUUUCCCCUGGAAAGCAUUUACCACAGCACCCAAUAAGGCUGGACACACAUGGAAGGCUUUCUAAGGUUUCAUUGAAUUGAUUUGGAGUUCUAGUAUCACCAUAGAAUUAAUUUCAAGGAGGCAAAGGAACCUUUUUUUUUUUUUUAAGAUUUUAUUUAUUUAUUCAUGAGGGACACACAGAUAGAGAGAGAGAGAGGUACAGACACAAGCAGAGGGAGAAGCAGGCUCCAUGCAGGGAGCCUGACAUGAGACUCGAUCCUGGAUCUCCAGGAUCACACCCUGGACUGAAGGUAGCACUAAACUGCUGAGCCACCCGGGCUGCCCGAGGCAAAGGAACCUUAAGAAAUCAGGUUAUCUUAGAGCAAGACAAUAGUACAGCUACAUUUGGGCAAAAUGCAAGCCAGUACAGAGGGCAGUACACACUCCGAGCAGCAAGGUUGGCUCUGCCAAGCUUCUUCCAUGGGAAGAACAUUCAGCAUCUCAGCAUUAGCUGCCAGAGCUUUGAACUGUCAUUGUUUAUAAAGAGAAGGAACUUAGGGUAAAUUGCUACAAAGAAGUAAUUCUGGAUUAUUUAUGAAAUGAGAAAAAUGGACAUAUGAAAAAAGAGUAGAAGGCAAUUUAUGAAGAUUAAGAAGGUGAGUUUGGCAGAAAGCCAUUUUUUUUUUUUAAUCAGCAACUGAGGAUGAAGUUGCAGGAAGAAAAAUACAGAGUAUAGUAUAUCUCUGUACAUACUAUAUGGAUACUAUCUAGAGGAGCAGGAAUUACCAAGAAUAACAAGCAUAAUAUUGUAG
rnacentral:lncRNA from 12 species